rnacentral:rRNA from 1 species
UACGAAGGGGGCUAGCGUUGCUCGGAAUCACUGGGCGUAAAGGGUGCGUAGGCGGGUCUUUAAGUCAGGGGUGAAAUCCUGGAGCUCAACUCCAGAACUGCCUUCGAUACUGAGAGUCUCGAGUCCGGGAGAGGUGAGUGGAACUGCGAGUGUAGAGGUGAAAUGCGUAGAGAUCCGGAGGAACACCAGAGGCGAAGGCGGCCGACUGGACCUGACCUGACGCUGAGGCGCGAAGGCGUGGGGAGCGAACGGG